CUGCUGCCUCCCGUAGGAGUCUGGUCCGUGUCUCAGUACCAGUGUGGGGGACCUUCCUCUCAGAACCCCUACGCAUCGUCGUCUUGGUGGUCCGUUACACCGCCAACUAACUAAUGCGACGCAUGCCCAUCCGCCACCGGAAUUAACCUUUGGCACCAACAGGAUGUCCCGUCGACGCAUUAUGCCGUAUUAGACGGAAUUUCUCCCGAUUAUCCGGCUGUGGCAGGCAGGUUGCAUACGUGUUACUCACCCGUGCG
rnacentral:rRNA from 1 species